rnacentral:rRNA from 1 species
AUAAUCGGGGAAUAGCCCAGCGAAAGUUGGAUUAAUGCUCCAUGUGAGUUUUAGAGGCAUCUCUUUAAUUUGAAACGCAAGGAUUAUGGGUGAGCACGCUUCUGAUUAGGUAGUAGGCGGGUAACGGCCACCUAGCCUUCGAUCAUUAGGGGUUCUGAGAGGAAGGUCCCCCACACUGGAACUGAGACACGGUCCAGACUCCUACGGGAGGCAGCAGUGAGGAAUAUUGGGUCAAUGGUCGGAAGACUGAACCAGCCAAGUAGCGUGAAGGAUGAAGGUUCUAUGGAUUGUAAACUUCUUUUAUACGGGAAUAAAACAUCCCACGUGUGGGAUCUUGUAUGUACCGUAUGAAUAAGCAUCGGCUAACUCCGUG